GACGAACGCUGGCGGCGUGCCUAAUACAUGCAAGUCGAACGCAGUGGGGACGGGUGAGUAACACGUGGGUAACCUCCCAUCAGAGGGGAUAACACUUGGAAACAGGUGCUAAACCGAUACUGAUGGCUGGACCCGCGGUGCAUUAGCGAGUUGGUGAGGUAACGGCUCACCAAGGCCACGAUGCAUAGCCGACCGUAGAGCGUGAGCGGCAACAGUGGGAUGGGGACACGGCCCAGACUCGUACGGGAGGGAGCAGUAGGGAAUAUGAGGUAAUGGAGAAAAUUCUGACCGAGCAUCGCGGGGUGAGUUAAGAGUGUUUUCGGUUUGUAAACCUCUGUUGUUAGAGAAGCGGUAUCUAUCCAGAAGGCCACGGUUAUCUACGUGCCAGCAGCCCCGGUAAUC
rnacentral:rRNA from 1 species